UCGCCUUUUUCGUUGGAUCGCUAUCUCGGCAGUAUUUAUCACUGAGUUGAGAGCAUCCACUGUGGACUUACCCUUCCGAAAGCCAAAUUGGUUGCUUGACAGGCCGUCCGUACCUUUCGCGUACGGGUUAGCCUGUUGAGGAUAAUCCUCUCAAGCAGUUUGCCAGUCGUGUCGAUCAGGCAGAUUGGUCUGUACGCCGAUGGGUCGCCUGGCCGCUUCCCGGGCUUCGGCAACAUCACCAAUUUCGACCUUUUCCAUCUAUCGGGGAAACGGCAUUCGUCAAGGCAUCUCUGCAUAGCUAGCCUGAACAUGUUCGGGUUCGCUAUGAUCGCAGCCUUGAGAGCGUUGUUUGGAACUCCAUCCGGCCCUGGAGCUUUGUUCAUUGCUAGGGAUUUAGCCACUGCGAGUAGUUAUUCAUUCGUCACUGGAGCCACCAUUUCGGCCGUACCCGCACUGUCUCGUAGUGCAGGUGGCCAGGGGCUUGUGGCUCGAGACGGGAAGAGUACUUCGAUAAUCGUCGCCAACCGGUCCGGAGACCGUUCUGGGGGUGAAGAGCCCCCUUUGGUCUUGGCCAUCACGAUCCUGUAGGCGUCACCCCACGGAUUCGCGUUGGCACUCUCACACAGGUUGUCGAAACACGCUCUCUUGCUGCUUUUAAUGGCUUUGUUAAGGGCCAAUUUCGCAGCUCGAAAUACUUCACGGCGGUUCUCUCUUGCAUCCUCGGUGCGAGCUCCUUGCGUCCUCGGUGCGAGCUCUUUGCAUCCUACGUCUAGCUCGGAGACACGCUGAUCGUAGAGCUGCAAUCUCGGCACUCCACCAGUAUACCGGGCAUCGGCCGUUUCUUGGCAGGGGUUUUCUCGGCAUAGUGGCGUCGCACGCGCGUGAUAGAACAGCUACCAGCGCAUCCCCGCUUAGACUGUCGGUGUUGGCCUCCAGUCCCAGGGCCGCGGUGAAAGCUUCGCUGUCGAAGUGAUUGGACUUCCAUCCGCGUACCUGACAGGGAUCUCCCGCUCUCGGAUGCUGCGCACCAUAGUUGAUCCUAAAGCGGAUUGCUAAGCGAUCGCUAUGGGUGUAGCCUUCGUCUACCCUCCAUUCCAUGCCUGGAACCAGACUCGGGCUGGCAAAUGUUACGUCAAUCCACGCCUCUAUCCCGUUUCAGAUACCUAAUGUGACAUCCCCAGGUACCUUUAGAGUCGAACCAGACCCCGAGAUAUUUAAAUGUGAAGACCUGAAGUUCUGGUACCUUUGGUGGAGUCGUAGUUUUGCGUUGCUUUGGUGCUUACAAUAAUAAAUCAGUGCGUACCUGGAAAUAGCACUCACCCUGACUUAUUUUAUAACUUAUCCUCACUUAUUUUAUAAAUCAGAUAAGUUUAGUCUUGGCACUAAGUUAGUGUCGGAUUCUGAUGAGAUAAAGCUGAAACACAAAUUCAAUAACUAAUUCUGGCACAAAACCGAAGCAAACAUCUCCUAGUUUUAGGAAUUUCAGACCAAAUAAGGGCUUCCGGGAAUACCGAGAAUCUUAUGUGAUAUUUCAACUUAAAUUGAUACAGGAUUGGUUGGGCCUAGAAAAACUCAUAGUAAGAGAACUGCGGGGAGAAAAACAGCAUUUUUGGUAACGUAUGCCCCGGCAUUGUAUGGCAACACGUCCAAUGUUAUAAGGAUAGGCAAUGUUCGAUUGGAUUCGUUUUUUGACAGCUAAACGCGAAUCCAAUUGAUCCAAAAUGGAGUCUCCGCAGUUCUCUUUCUAGAGUUUUUCUAGGCCCAACCAAUCCUGUAUUGUGAGCUGAGAAAAAAUUGUGAUGAAAUCAUCGAGUUAAAGAUGUAUAUAUUUUUGUAAACUGAUUUGUACAAAGCUAUUUUUUCCUCCGUGGUCAGGUUUAGGCGAGUUUUUCUAGUUGGGCCUAGAUUUAAGACCGGCAAGUUUGUUGUAUAGCGAAGUUCCUCCCGGCGUCGGGGAGACUUCAAUUCUUACAAAUGCCUUUGAUGUAAAUUGUGAUUGAAGGAGGCUUCAGAAUGCUACCAUACGGCACUUUUAGCAGUUCGAUUCGCAUUCCCUUAUCUUCAUUGUACCCGUUUACAUUUUAAGUACUGGUGUAACAGCAAUAAUUUAAUUUAUCACUUGAGCGAGAAAAAUCAGCAACAUUCGAUUCAACAGUUGAAAAUUUUAUUUUUAAAGAAAGGUUUUCGAUAUCCAUUUCAACAAAGUAACUAUAUCUGACUUCACCACAUGGGAAAGCAGAUUCGCUUUCAAACUCCCCUACUCGCCGCUGUCCUUGAGUUGUGCCAAAGCAAAAAAAAAGGAAAAUCAUGCGAAGAAGAAACCAACGACCAACGCGACCAGACCAAUUGCGCAUUAGAUAGGUAGGUUGUAGGCAAGUUUGUGAAAUUUAUGCGCUAACUUGUUGGGAGUUGCUUUUUCCCAUGAAUUUCCAAGCAGAUGUGCGCCACACGAUAAGUUUCCCCCUCUGCACUGAGUAAAAAAACGGUAACGGCGACGGACGGAGUGUUGUUUGCUGCAGUUUCUCGAACAUAUCGGAGUUUGCGCAUGUACACAACUGUUGGAUCGUUUUCUCGUUCUUCUUCUUUGUUGUGCAGCACCCAUCACCCUUCGUCAGCUGAUUGCAGCAAAUCUAGCUGGGGCUGUGAAAGUACACACUUUUGACUGGUAAAAUGUGUACAAUAGGGAUACAUUUUCAAAUGGUCCAUUUUGAUUCUGAACCGAAAUUUCUAAUUUCGACUGCGAUUCCUAAUUUGAUAGUUUCAAAUAAAACGGGAACAUUCUUUUUACGAUUGUCGCUUAUUUUGAUACUGAUGACUAUCACCGCAAGCCGCGCCGUGUGUUUGUAUUAGUGCCACGAGGAAUCGAGCUCACGUACACAUGCUCAGCUUCGCUACCCUUCUAAUGCGACUGUGUCCGUCCAGGUGGGGUAGUCACGUACGUGUGUGUGUGUGUGUGUUCGUGAUGGAUUUGUUCCGAUUUGAAAGUAUUUUUUUUUGUUCAAGGCAUGCUUUUGUUCGAACCCCCCAAAUGAGUAGGCCUUGAUAUGGUUCAAAGACGACUGAAUUCCAAAUGUUUCCAUGUUAUUUUCAUUAUUCAUGUCUGUUGGCAUUUGGAUGAUUGCAAUCGUUUAACCGGAGAGAACUUGAAUAAAAGCGACGAUCUGUACGGCUUUCAAGUGUAACGUACUUGCUCAAUGCUAAACGUUUUCGAUGGGGAACAUGACUUGUCAUGAGGAUUUCUGUACUCAUGUAAGGGGUUUCCCGUACGAUAUGAAAUCUAAUUAGUUGCGGCUUAUAAUUGCCUUUAACUAGGAAAUUUUCCAUUCGAUCGUCAUCGGUUUUAUUUUGCAUAACAAGCGUAUAUUGGACUAACGAAAACGUCUGUCUGUUGUGUUGGUAUCUGAUAUCGAAAAAUCGGCUCGAUCUAUCCACAUGAAAAACUGUUAUGAUAUUGAAGCAUCGAAACUGGAACUUCAAGCGCCAACUGUACAAAUUACGCCAUCGGAAAAUAAGUGUCUUCUUCGGAUUGUUUUAUCAGAGUCCAUUGAC